CGGACAUUCUACUCGCCAAUGAUUCAACAACAUAUAUUAGCAUCUGCGCUGAUAAGAUUUAAGAUACAGCGCGAUGAAAUUACGAGAUGAGACAGACUCUGUUGUUGGAAUUUGUAUACAGCCGAAACUGCAGCAACAUCUACAGUAGUGCGCAAAGCUUGACUGCCGGUGUGUGUAGCUGAAAGAAACAAGGGCACGUACCUCUACACACGAGGUGAUGAAGGACGUCUCCAGAGGGGAUCGCAGUGGUUGAAGCUUCUUCAGUUUCGUCGGACUUGAAUUUCUACUCUGAAAUGAACCACCAUAUCUGCAUCCCUGACUUUCUUAUGGGCGCAAAAUGAGAUUGUGUGAACGAUAACCACAACUUGACAAGGAAAACACCUCUGCUAACCUCAUUAACUCAACUGAAAAUACGUAUUUCUGAACACUCCCUGAACUUGCUUUUACAGAUUACAAAAAUUCCUCUGCUAACCUCAUUAACUCAACUUGUAAUAAUGCACUCGUAUUUCCCAACUCCUGAAUCACUGUAAUGAUUACCACUACCAUCCAGGACCAGUCACGCAAAAGUACCUGCUAGUUUACUUAGGUAACUGAAAUUGUCAGGGAACUCCAUGAACCAUCCCCACUUGCUUGCAUCUGCUACACUUUACCCUACUGUGGAUCUCUUGUCCAGCAAUACCACAGCAUUUUCUAGGGAAGCAGUUACCCACAACAAUUGUGGUACAGGAGGCCUUUCAUGCAAGGCUUCCUAUACACUCACGACUUCCCUUCAGGGAACGCAAGUAAAACACCGACCUUGUACAGCUUGCCACCACAUUGUGUGACGAUUCGGUAUUCGACUAGACAAUCUGUGCAACUUCUACUCGCUUCAUUCACUGCUACUCAAUGUAAAAUAUUAGGAGACCAUGACAGUUCUAAUGCAAAGGAUACAGAGGAGCUAACUGCAGUCCCCUCCACAUUUUCUCAUCCGGGCUUGGGACCGGCAA
rnacentral:rRNA from 1 species